UUCUUGCAGUGAUGAUUAAUUAUACAGCUUUAAGCCAGUUCUGCUUCUGAGAAUUCAUGAUUGAUAGAGCUGUUUUUUCCUCUGAGCUUUGA